GUGGAGGAAAACUUCUCUGCAGCCAGCAAACAGAGCAAAGCUGUCAGGACCAUUUAAAGGUGGCCCUGGAGACUUAUCGCAGGCAAGCCCCUCAGAAGAGCAGCGUGCUGAAAAAUUACACCUCCGGAGCGGGUUUGGAGGCUGGCUUCUCACCGCAGCCCUGCACCUUGCAAGCGUCUGCCACAGCUGGAGCUUGUACACUCAGCCUGAGGAUGUAUAUGUGCUUCAAAGCCACAACGUGAAACCUGCAAAUUUUGGAAGCACUCAAACUCAGCACCUCCUGGGAGUUAUUCUAUAAAGGAUGCCAGAAAGGCCACAGAAAAAUAAACUUACUUGAGGUGCUACAAUCGGGUCAACAGCUCUCCUGGGAGCUCGAGCAUAGACACAGCUCCGUGGGAGUCAGACAGCUUAAGCGCUACUCACAGCAGAUGCCAUCCAGGGAACAUGAAAGGAACAUGUAUUUAUUAUCUCCAGACAGACUACAGAGCAGGAGCAGCUCUGUAUAAUGCCUUUCCUGCUUCACAGUUCCCCAGGGUUGUUGCUCAGCUGGAAGAACGGACAGCAGCUGAUGAACCCACCACAGAAAUCAGCCCCCACUGUUUCUAGCUGUGCUGAACUCCUGCCACACAGCUGGAAGAGCUGGAGAUCUCCAAAUCAGUUUCUGAUAAAGGGGACUAACAUCCUACACCAAGGUCUCCUGGGCAGCAUGUGACUGGCUGGAAGGCACCCCCACUUUUGAUUUUUUCCUUGAAGAGCUGGGCACCUCUCUGUACAGCAUUGAGAGAAAACAGUUUCGGUGUUGAAGUAGACUUAAACAGUCUGCAUUUGGUCUCACCCCAACUCUGCAUUUCUGUUUCCUUAGCUGCGAUCCUACAACUGCUGUGGGGGCUCACACCAGAAGCAGAAGCACUGAUGUGAUACAACAGCUAUACAGCUGGGGAUGGGGGAAAGAAGAGGGCAGAGAAAUGUGUUAAAUUGGCUUUGUCUCACACACCUUUUCUCCAGUAGAGUGGAAAGAAAAGUGUACUUGUACUACUGGAGCAUGCAGGACAGAAAAUGAGCAGCAUGUCAGGUUAAACCAAUUACAGUUCUGAGUAGUACGGAUGAUGUGUUAACGGGGCUUCUCAGACGAGUGACUUGGCCUCUGCCUGCUCGUGGGGAUGCUGGGCUGUAUAAUGACGGAAUUUUCACAUGGCCAGAAUUUCAUUACAUCAUUUGCUAGUAUAUAGCAUAUCACAAGGGAAUUUUACUUUAUUUAACAUAGUAACAAUGAACAGCUGGCUGCAUUACAGUCCUCUGUGUCAGUGAGGAUACAGUCAAAAUAUAUUAGUCUAGUUUAAAACAUUCAAAUUACAUUUUUGUAGGUUGGCCAGUAUGCACUGUGAAUGAGCAAAACAAGGAAAAGACAAUUCAAUAGUGGAAAUAAAAUGU